rnacentral:rRNA from 1 species
CUUUCUUUUGCUGGCGACCGGCGCACGGGUGAGUAGCACGUAUCCAACCUGCCCUUUACUCGGGGAUAGCCUUUCGAAAGAAAGAUUAAUACCCGAUAGUAUAAUGAUUCCGCAUGGUUUCAUUAUUAAAGGAUUCCGGUAAAGGAUGGGGAUGCGUCCCAUUAGGUUGUUGGUGAGGUAACGGCUCACCAAGCCUUCGAUGGAUAGGGGUUCUGAGAGGAAGGUCCCCCACAUUGGAACUGAGACACGGUCCAA